rnacentral:rRNA from 1 species
UACGGGGGGGGCAAGCGUUGUUCGGAAUUACUGGGCGUAAAGGGCUCGUAGGUGGCCAACUCAGUCAGACGUGAAAUCCCUCGGCUUAACCGGGGAACUGCGUCUGAUACUGGAUGGCUUGAGGUUGGGAGAGGGAUGCGGAAUUCCUGGUGUAGCGGUGAAAUGCGCAGAUAUCAGGAGGAACACCAAUGGCGAAGGCAGCUCGCUGGGACGGUACUGACGCUGAGACGCGAAAGCGUGGGGAGCAAACAGG